GGAGCUAAAGGAGUUAUGGUCGCUCAUUCUGAGGAGCAAAUACUGUGUAAAUCACUACUACAGCAGGGAGAGGGUCUAACUUACCUAUGGAGCAAUGAACUCAGCACAGGAAAACUGAGUGCUUUUGAGUGUAGGAGCCCAGUUGUGGUGUGCUGCUGUUUUGCCUGAAUGAGUCAAGGGUGUUUGUUCUCUUCUCUUCUCUUCUCUUCUCUUCUCUUCUCUUCUCUUCUCUUCUCUUCUCUUCUCUUCUCUUCUCUUCUCUUCUCUUCUCUUCUCUUCUCUUCUCUUCUCUUCUCUUCUCUUCUCUUCUCUUCUCUUCUCUUCUCUUCUCUCUCUUCUCUUAAGAUUAUUUUAAAGCUUCUGAAAAAGAUCUUCAUGUAUGUUAUAGAUGUAAUAUAUAUAUUAUAUAAGAUACAUAAAAGCUUUUCUAUAAAAAUAGGAAUCACUAACAGAAUCUAUUUUAUGGUUUCAUAACAAUAUACCAUACUUACGAAGAGAAACUCUUAACUUUCGGCAUCUAGAAAUGAGUCUUAUUGACCCUUCCACCUCCAAUCUCGCGUGCCAAAGGUUACCAUUUUAAACUUAAAGCAGCCUGCUACAUUUGGCUGUUAUAGCCUUAGAAGCUGUGUUACAGUGUACCAAAUAAUAUUUCAAAAAUGCAGUGUAAAAAACAGCUUAGGAAGGGGUCACUUUACAGAAAAGAAACAGUUGCUACUGUAGGUAUAAUGUGUUAUUACCUAAGGCCUCCCUGUCUAGUCACUGAAUAAUUGUAUAUUUAGCUAGUAACUUGUGAAACAGUGUAAUAGUCUGUUAAUACGCUGUAGUGGGAUACCUUUAGUUUUGAUGUUUUCAAAGGUUUUAUCUGCUGGCCAGUUCUUCAGGAGCAUGUGUGUGUGUGUUUAUGAAUGUGUUAUGUAUUCUUGUUUUGAACAGCCCAGUCUUUUUGUAGUUUGUAGGCUUACAUAUUUCUAGCAUUCAAAUACCUGACAUAAGUCGGAAUCCCCUCCUGGGCUAAUUCUGAUUGAUCGCCGAUGCUUUUAAGACGCUAACACAUUUCUGUCACAUAUUAAGAAUUCUUCUGCAGGUUGUAUCUUGCUUAUUUCAAAGAAGUGGAUUUUACAUGCUCACAAAGAUUUUUAAGACAGUCCCUUGUAAACCUUUGCAAUGAUUGUAGGUAAGGCUAUGCGUUGUAAUGGAGACUUCAGCCUU
rnacentral:lncRNA from 1 species